AUGCUCGCUUCAGCAUCACAUAUACUAAAAUUGGAAUGAUACAGAAAAGAUUAGCAUGGUCCCUGUGCAAGGAUGACAUGCAAAUUUGUGGUAUUUCAUAUUUAA